rnacentral:lncRNA from 10 species
AGCCAUGACAGUGGUAUGUUUGUACUCCUGCUCCGUGCCCUAGAAUGUUCCAAUGGGCACUCUGCAGCUGCUCAGGAGAGAGACUUCCACGCUCAGUGUGCCCCCGACUGCCACCCUCCAUGUUCACAGACAUCCUCGUCCUUCUCACUGCCACUUAGCUACCCACCCUUCCUCCUGACUCCUCUUCACUUUCCUUUUAUUUUUUUUGAGGCGGAGUCUCACUCUGUCAAACAGGCAGAAGUGCAGUGGUGUGAUCUUGGCUCACUGCAACCUCCACCUCCCAGGUUCAAGUGAUCCUCCUGCCUCAGCCUCCCGAGUAGCUGGGAUUACAGGUGCCCACCACCACGCCAGGCUAAUUUUGUAUUUUUAGUAGAGAUCGUGUUUCGCCAUGUUGGCCAGGCUGGUCUCGAACUCCUGACCUCAAGUGAUCCGCCCACCUCAGCCUCCCAAAGUGCUGCAAUUACAGGCGUGAGCCACUGCGCCCAGCUCCUCUUUGCUUUUCUUUUUGGCCCUGCAAAGACUACAAUAAUCAGCCUGUGACUAUCUUCACGGAGCUCAUCCAUCCAACCCUACUAACACGAAGACUCCUAUGAAAAACAAGUCAAGUGUUCCAGGAAGGAGAAGAUCCUUCCCUUGCUACUGGCAAGAUGUAUGCAUAUUCCGGAUCCCAGGUCUGUUGUCCCCUCAUGCCAUGUGGAAGUUUCCCAAGACUAUAGAGAAAUGUUUAGAUGUGCAGAUGCCACACACUAAUUCUUAGAGUUUCUACGGCCAUUAUGACUAAAGGGAUUUUUGUAUACUGUUUAAUUUUUUGGUUGGGUCUUUGUUUCACUUUUUUUUCUAAUUGAGGGGGAAUUUUAAAUUGUAACCGUUGUUACACCGUGAGCAGACACAGUACCUUCAA